CCGGAAGGCAGGAGUGCCUGCAAGGGAGCGCGGAGACAGGUGGUGCAUGGCUGUCGUCAGCUCGUGUCGUGAGAUGUUGGGUUAAGUCCCGCAACGAGCGCAACCCUCACCUCUUGUUGCCAUCAGGUCAUGCUGGGCACUCUAGGGGAACUGCCCCGGUCAACGGGGAGGAAGGCGGGGAUGACGUCAAGUCAUCAUGCCCCCUACGUCCUGGGCUACACACGUGCUACAAUGGCCGGUACAAAGGGAUGCCACACCGCGAGGUAGAGCUAAACCCAAAAAGCCGGUCUAAGUUCGGAUUGGGGUCUGCAACUCGACUCCAUGAAGGAGGAAUCGCUAGUAAUCGCGUAUCAGCACGACGCGGUGAAUACGUUCCCGGGCCUUGUACACACCGCCCGUCACACCACGAAAGCUAG
rnacentral:rRNA from 1 species